rnacentral:sRNA from 1 species
UUCCUGGCCCUCCUGCUUUGCCCUUCCAAAGGGUGAAUCACAGGCAUUUGUUUUGGCUUUUGGUUCCUGAGAUUGCAGCUCUUCAUGGUGUGUGUAUGAUCAAUAAAUACAUCAACAUUAGAGGAAUCCAUCAACCAAUCAAUGAGAGCUCAAACCUCUUUCAUUCACAGCUUCUCCCUCUCUUUGGGUUCCACCCUCCCAUCCAUCGGCAAAAUGUACAUUGCACUGUGGUAUUUUUAUACAUCCUAAUUUAAACCAAAACAUGAAAAAGGUUUACAUAAUAAAAAAUGAUAAUUAACAUUUGCUAAGAUUCCGCCAUGCACUGGGAAUUCUGAAUCCCUUAUUAGCUUCACCGUCUCUGUAAUAGACCAGUGACGGGGUUGUUAUUGGUCCCAUUUCAUCAAUGAGGAAGCCAAGUCUUAAAGAGGCAGGGCUGAUCCCCCAGCCAGCUGUCUCCAUGAGAACGGAAGCCGGUGCUCAUCCAUCCUGGUAGUACAUGCUUUAUAGGAAGGAAGCAAAUGCCCACGGACACACAGGUAAACGGUUCAAAGGAUCAGGGUCUCUGGUUUCCCUGGUUACCCACUCCUCCAUCCACUGCCCAUUAGGUUGCUGGGGAAUUUCAGGCAUGCGCAGGUGGCCCCUGUGGCCGGCACUGGGACCUUCAUCAGGAAUGUGUUUGACAUCCUUUUUCCUUCUGUUGUCUUAAGAACAAGUAGAACGGGACUAGAAAGCUGUGACUCCAUCUCAUCCCCACAGGGCUGAAAGCAGUGUUGACAGAAAACAAGGGCUGAGAUGUGACGUCACAAGAGAGGCGGGCAGCCUAUGUGUUCCUGGGCUGUUGGGGUGAUUGAAACCUGAAAUCUCUAGAAGCUUCUCUCCUAGAGAUCAGCAAGCUUCUUUUUUGGCUCAGACCACCUCACCCUUCCUGAUGCUCACAGCUUGAGAUUUACCUCAGAGUCGGAACUUAGGUAGAACAAAGAGGACUUUGGUGUGAGAAGGUCCCUAUGAUUAUAAGGACCUCUCCAUGGGGGCGCUGUUAUUAAGUAGACAUGAGUCAUCAGCAUACUGAUACACUUAAAAAAUGGGCUACAUUAUGAUGUUUGAAAGUAACAUUUUUCAAAGUUCCAGAUUCUCACAAAAAUGUCCUGUUGUCUUUGGAGGCUCAUAAAAUACAAAAUGAAAGUGAAAAAUGUAUUUGGAAUUCUAGAAAAGGGCUGUGUAUGGAGCUAUGGUAAUUACAGGUAGUUGAAUAGAAUAAUACAGAUAAAAAAUAAUAUCUUAUGGCUUGAUUUUUUUAAGAGACGGCACCUUUCAGUAUAAUGAGAAGGUCAAUAAACCGGGAUCCAGAAACUCCAAAGACUUUAGAGACCUCGAGUGUGGCCAUCCAUACUCAGUGAGCCUCGGUUUCCCUAUCUAUAAAAUGGGGAUGAGAGACCAGAGCUAGGCAAUUUCUAGCUGUAAUCUUUAGUUAACAUAAUCCAUCCUACAGAUGUGAGCGACAGUGUCACUGUCCUCCCAAGGACUUCUAGGAACACUGGUAUAUUUAAUUCUUUUUUUUCUCCCCACGUAUCUCUUCCCAUAGGUACCUCUUUCUACUUAGGUUCCCUUAGAAAGGGAAUAAAACGUCUGUAUGUGCUAUUCCCCUGUGGCAGAGUGGCAGACACUAAGAAGAUGCAAUAGUACAUGGAGGAGGGCUCCUGCAAUGACAUGGGAGACAGAGACAGAAGAGUCACCUAGAAGCUUGCAGGUCAGCCGGCAUGGAAGAUAAGACAGAGGAGCAGGCAAGAGAGGUCCUCAAAGCAAGGUAGAAGGCGAAGAUGGACUCCUAGAAGCUGUCCUCUGAUAAACAGUUUGGCAGUGAUCACAAGACGUUUUGCCCUCAGUAAAGCUCGAGUCACGAAGGACCGCGGGAUCAAAUGAUGUCAUAGGUCUUGCCUCACUCACAGGCAUCUGCUUCUUGGGAGGAGGCACCAACUGAAGGUCAGAGGGGUACAAAACAGCCACACCAAAGUGGUCUGGUUGAGGUCACCAGUCAACACCAGCUCCUCCCUUGCUCAUUGCCAGCUGAUCAUGAUGGGGGUGCUGUGUGCCUUGACAACGUGAAGGCCAAACGUGUGAUGGCCUCUCACUCCUUCCUGGGAUGCUGAAGGUGGCUGGACCACUCUCCAUUUGAUGGCCACUUAUACCAUGGGGAACGGGAACUAAGGCAGUUUUACUGAUCAACGAACGGAACUGGGGCUGGAGAGAUGGCUCAGUGGUUAGGAGCACUUGCUGCUCUUGCAGAGGUCCUGAGUUACCUUCUCAGCACUCAUGUGGUAUUCAAGGCAUCCAGUACCCUCCUCCGCCCUUUGUGGAAACGCAGCUUCACACAAGUCACACACACAUAGUUAAGAAUAAAAUAAAGCUUAAAGCAAGUAAGCACGCAAACACACAAGCCCAGUACUGACCCACUGCUUGAAGAUAAACAGGGGGAUGCUAGAAAGAAAAGUGCCCAUCUAUUGCAUGUGUAUGCAUGGCUGUUCCUCCCCCAUUUACUGCUGCUUAAAGAGCAUUCCAAUUUCUCUUUCCUCUGGCUAAGGAGUGAGUAUCUCUAAGGUGUAUAUACCUCUGUUUUUUUAUACCCUGUAUAGUAGUUUUAGGUUGACAGAAAAUCUGGGCAGAAGCAACUGAGUUCUCAUAGAACUUCUGCACACCCUCCUACACACCCAGCCUCUUCAAGAACUUGUAUUUGCAAUGAGAACCUGCCUGGAUAUAGAAUAGCCACCGAAACUCUAUAGCUCAAAUCACUCAAGGCAUUGUCCAUCUGAGGAUUUAUCGCUGGUUUUAUUUUAUUCAUAUGCAUAGGUGGUGAUUUGAAAGAGAAAUGGCCCCUGUAGCCUCAGGUUUUUGAACACUUGGUUCCCAUUUGGUGGCACUGUUCAGGAGGUCACGUUUCAGCCUCAGGCUCCUGCUCCUUUGACUGCCCAUUGCUGCCCGGUCUCCUAGCCAUGAUGGAGUCCUAUUCAUCUGGAACCAUGAGCUAAAAUAAACUCUUCCCAACUCUUUUGGUCCUGGUUUUAGCACAGCAACAGAACUGUAACAAAUGUGUCAUUAUUUGUAUCUUUCAUGAGUGUGUGUACAGGUGGAGGACAGAAAAGGGUAUUGAACUGCCCCGAGUUGGAACUACAGGUGAUUGCGAUCCACCCAGUGUGGGUUCUGAAAACAGAACUUAGAGCCUCUGUCAUCCCUAUGUCAACUAGGUGUGGUCCAUCUACCAAACACCUUUAAAUAAUAAUACUGUUUGCAUCUGGCUUCUGUCAUCAGGACAGCUGGCCUCACGGUAUGUGGACAGAUACUCUUUUCAUUCUACCCAUCCUAACAAGUUCAGAAGAACCAUACUCACGGAUACAAAGUAAUCUGUCCAAGCUUUGGACACUAGAAGGAUGCAGCCGAAGGUCCCUGAUGCUCAAUGUGUCACUGUGUCUUAUCUUUAUUGCCUCCCCUAAAACCAAACUGUGACUCACUUGCUUGUUAAAUAUUUAACAAAACAUGAAUUCAUGCUCACACAGCACAGGCCAGGGCUGACAGAGGCCCUCUUUCGGAUCUUACAACUGGCUGGUACUUGAGAGACUGUCCACAUGCUAUUGACCUUGAUGGUGUAGCUUGUACCAACAUGUCCUACUGCAAGCAAACCUCUGCCAGGUGGAGAACUGCUCCAUAUCUGAGGAAGAAGACCUGAACACUGGAUCACCACAUACUUCAUUGUCAUUUAGUGGUAAACAUGGUACUUCUGGGCUUCCCCAGCUCCUGUUGGGAAUUCUAAGGGCACUGGAGGUCCAGGCCGAGAUUUGUUUGUAAUAUGCAGAUGUGAUGAGGCCUCUCCUGGACAGAGGCUUUACUCUGGGAGCUGUGGCUGUCUGUGGGUGAACUAUGAAGAAAGCUAAUACAAUUUCUGUCUGAAAUGCAA